rnacentral:rRNA from 1 species
CCUACGGGAGACAGCAGUGGGGAAUAUUGGGCAAUGGGCGCAAGCCUGACCCAGCAACGCCGCGUGAAGGAAGAAGUCUUUCGGGUUGUAAACUUCUUUUGUCAGGGACGAAGCAAGCGACGGUACCUGACGAAUAAGCCACGGCUAACUACGUGCCAGCAGCCGCGGUAAUACGUAAGUGGCAAGCGUUAUCCGGCUUUACUGGGUGUAAAGGGCGUGUAGGCGGGACUGCAAGUCAGAUGUGAAAACCACGGGCUCAACCUGUGGCCUGCAUUUGAAACUGUAGUUUUUGAGUACUGGAGAGGCAGACGGAAUUCCUAGUGUAACGGUGAAAUGCGUAGAUAUUAGGAGGAACACCAGUGGCGAAGGCGGUCUGCUGGACAGCAACUGACGCUGAGGCGCGAAAGCGUGGGGAGCAAACAGGAUUAGAUACCCCAGUAGUC